rnacentral:tRNA from 1 species
GCGUCUGUAGCCUAGUUGGUAAAGGCAGCACUCUAGAAAGCUGAGGUCGUGAGUUCGACUCUCACCAGACACA